rnacentral:ncRNA from 1 species
AACGUGCUCCGGGGUCGGUGAGAAUCCGAACCGGCGGUGACAGUCCGCGAGCGCCGAGGGAGACCUCGGUGCCGAUCCGGUGGAAUUCCGGGACCGACGGUGGUGCGAGGGCAACCUCGCUAGUCCGGAAGGGAGGCAGCACGAU